UACGGGGGGAGCAAGCGUUGUUCGGAUUUACUGGGCGUAAAGGGCGCGUAGGCGGUCAGCACAAGUCAGUUGUGAAAUCUCCGGGCUUAACUCGGAAAGGUCAACUGAUACUGUGCGACUAGAGUGCGGAAGGGGCAACUGGAAUUCUCGGUGUAGCGGUGAAAUGCGUAGAUAUCGAGAGGAACACCUGCGGCGAAAGCGGCUCACUGGACCACAACUGACGCUGAGGCGCGAAAGCUAGGGGAGCAAACAGG
rnacentral:rRNA from 1 species